GACGAACGCUGGCGGCGUGCUUAACACAUGCAAGUCGAACGGAAAGGCCCUGCUUUUGUGGGGUGCUCGAGUGGCGAACGGGUGAGUAACACGUGAGUAACCUGCCCUUGACUUUGGGAUAACUUCAGGAAACUGGGGCUAAUACCGGAUAGGAGCUCCUGCUGCAUGGUGGGGGUUGGAAAGUUUCGGCGGUUGGGGAUGGACUCGCGGCUUAUCAGCUUGUUGGUGGGGUAGUGGCUUACCAAGGCUUUGACGGGUAGCCGGCCUGAGAGGGUGACCGGCCACAUUGGGACUGAGCUACGGCCCAGACUACUACGGGAGGCAGCAGUGGGGAAUAUUGCACAAUGGGCGGAAGCCUGAUGCAGCAACGCCGCGUGCGGGAUGACGGCCUUCGGGUUGUAAACCGCUUUCGCCUGUGACGAAGCGUGAGUGGCGGUAAUGGGUAAAGAAGCACCGGCUAACUACGUG
rnacentral:rRNA from 1 species